rnacentral:rRNA from 1 species
UACGUAGGGGGCUAGCGUUGUCCGGAAUCAUUGGGCGUAAAGAGCGUGUAGGCGGUCCGGUAAGUCCGCUGUGAAAGUCGGGGGCUCAACCCUCGAAUGCCGGUGGAUACUGUCGGGCUAGAGUGCGGAAGAGGCGAGUGGAAUUCCGGGUGGAGCGGUGAAAUGCGUAGAGAUCCGGAGGAACACCGACGGCGUAGGCAGCGCCCUGGACGACACCUGACGCUGAGGCACGAAAGCUGGGGGAGCGAACAGG